GGACCCGCACAAGCGGUGGAGCAUGCGGAUUAAUUCGAUGCAACGCGAAGAACCUUACCAAGGCUUGACAUAUAGUGGACGAGUAUCGAGAUAUACUUUCCUUUAUGGCCGCUAUACAGAUGGUGCAUGGCUGUCGUCAGCUCGUGUCGUGAGAUGUUAGGUUAAGUCCUUUAACGAGCGCAACCCUCGUCGUAUGUUAUUAACAGGUUAUGCUGAAAACUCAUGCGAGACCGCCAGGGUCAACCUGGAUGAAGGUGGGGAUGACGUCAAGUCAUCAUGCCUCUUACGUCUUGGGCUUCACGCGUGCUACAAUGGGCAGUACAAAGAGUUGCGAUACCGCAAAGGUGGAGCUAAUCUCAAAAAGCUGUUCUCAGUUCGGAUUGGGGUCUGCAACUCGACCCCAUGAAGUUGGAAUCGCUAGUAAUCGCGAAUCAGCAAUGUCG
rnacentral:rRNA from 1 species